UCUUUAUACUUAUAUUAUGUUAGAAUAUUAAAAUACAUAAACUAUGAAAAACCAAAUAAAGAUUUUGUGCUUAUAUAUAUCUUUUGCUUAGUAUGUUUAAUAAAUAAAUAAAGUGGCUAUGCUAAUCUGAAUCUUAAUAAUAAAACUCUAGCAUGGAUAUGAUGAAUAGUUGCUCUGCCUAAUUUGCAAUUUUGAAGUUCUCUCUCAAGUUUAGACAUAACUGUUAUAAUUUAAAUCUUGCUCUAGACCUAAACUUGUGGGAUGAAAACUUGAUCUGAAGUCUAAGUUGUUAACGGAUACGAUAUGGGAAGGUUGAGCUGCUGUUUAUCUGUUCCUAGAGAUGCCAGAAUUCUGGAGAAUUUUAUCUUUAAAAAUCUUUAAAAUAUUGCAUGAUGAGUCCCUGUAUGAUGAGAGUUUAAAUUCCUACCACAGCCAUAUAUACAUGCUUGCUAGACUUUGAGCUACACAUUUACUAUUUACUGCUUAUGAGCAUUGAGUGUGGUCAAGCUGUGUAGACCCUUAGGAGCUUGUCAUGUGGUUAAAUCAAGAUUCACUUGCACGUUCACUCAUAUAUGCUACUUCUACUCCGGAAGUACCAUCCACAUAUAUCCAUCCAUUUCCAUCUCCAGAAUCAGCCAAAAAUAUUCUACUCCUAAUCCGGGAGAGAAUAGUCAAAAACAUUUUCCUAUCCCUGUUAUUCCCUGUGAAAUAAAUGCUCCAAAUAUUUUGGUUACUACCACUUGCUAUAUUAUCUCAAGAGAUGAGUGCUCUAAAAAAAAGAAAGAAAAGAGAAUAUAUAUAUAUAUAUAUAUAUAUAUAUAUAUAUAUAUAUAUAUAUAUAUAUAUAUAUAUAUAUAUAUAUAUAAACGAGGAAAUAAAAAGGGGCAAGUGCCCGGAACCUCGAAAGAAAGAAAAAGUGAGACGAGAGGUAAAAAUGGACAAGUGUCCGACAGUAGAAUUAGGGGUACAAGAUACCCACCUGAGAGGAAAGAAAAAGAAGAGCAUCUCAUUCUCCUCAUAAAGUUUCAAAAAGCAAGGAAGGUAUGUAUCCCCUCAAAAGAGCAAAAGUAGAAUUAGACUUUCACCAUUGUUAUUACCAUCAUCACCAUACACCAUUCAUUCGCCACACAUGGACAUCUUGAUUUGGCUUAUUGAUUUGUUUCUCUGGAUCCAUGGCUUGACUAUGCAAUAAAUGUCUUGUAAGUAUGUAUUAACUGUCUCCCACCUAUGAGCUCCAGAUAUCAAGCCUUAUUAGAGUAGGGCGAG
rnacentral:lncRNA from 1 species